GCCGCCUUAGCUCAGUUGGUUAGAGCGCUAGAUUGUGGAUCUAGAGGUCUCUGGUUCGAACCCAGAAGGCGGUACCA
rnacentral:tRNA from 1 species